rnacentral:ncRNA from 3 species
AUGCACCGGAUCCCAUCAGAACUCCGCA